GACGAACGCUGGCGGCGUGCUUAACACAUGCAAGUCGAACGGAAACGCCCUUCGGGGUUGCUCUGCUGGGGUGGGGAACGUGAGAGUAACACGAGCUGACCCUGCCCUUGGCUUUGGGAUAGGUUCAGGUAGCUAAUGCUAGUACCGUACCGCAUCGGCUUCGGCAGUGUGUGGGUUGGAUAUUUGCGGCGGUUGGGGAUGGACUCGCGGCUUAUCUGCUUGUUGGUGGGGUAGUGGCUGACCAAGGCUGGGACGGGUAGCCGGCCUGAGAGGGUGACCGGCCACACUGGGACUGAGACACGGCCCAGACUCCUACGGGAGGCAGCAGUGGGGAAUAUUGCACAAUGGGCGGAAGCCUGAUGCAGCGACGCCGCGUGAGGGAUGACGGCCUUCGGGUUGUAAACCGCUUUCGGCUGCGACGAAGCGAGAGUGACGGUAAUGGGAGAAGAAGCACCGGCUAACUACGUG
rnacentral:rRNA from 1 species